GGGGUUGUGGCUCAGUGGUAGAGCACUCGUCUAGCACAUGUGAGGGACUGGGUUCAAUCAUCGGCACCACA
rnacentral:tRNA from 1 species